rnacentral:rRNA from 1 species
ACGAUGGAGAGUUUGAUCCUGGCUCAGGAUGAACGCUAGCGGCAGGCCUAAUACAUGCAAGUCGAACGGUCCGCAAGGAUAGUGGCGAACGGGUGCGUAACGCGUAAGGAACCUGCCCCUGAUUGGGGGAUAGCCCGGCGAAAGCUGGGGUAAACCCGCAUGGUUUUACUGGAUCGCAUGGUUUGGUAAAUAAAUAUUUAUAGAUCAGGGAGGGUCUUGCGUCUGAUUAGUUAGUUGGCAGGGUAACGGCCUACCAAGACGAUGAUCAGUAGGGGCUCUGAGAGGAGCGGCCCCCACAUGGACACUGAGACACGGGUCCAACUCCUACGGGAGGCAGCAGUAGGGAAUAUUGGGCAAUGGGCGAGAGCCU